CGCGGUCCCCGUGCCGUGGUCCCUGCUGGCUGCGAUACAGGGAGCCCCGAGGGUGAGGGUUUGUCGCUAAACCCCUCUUUAUUCUCGCAUCCCUCCUACAAAGGCAUAGUGCGACCGAGGUUCCAUUUCCGGAGUGGGAGCUGCGUUCUUUUAGAUGUCAUCCUACAAACUUUUAUGGCUUAUCCUCUAGAGAUUUCGGGCCCCAAAGGGUGGUGUGGAAGUGUUCCUGUAACAGCAGCACGGGAAGCUGAAGCGAGAACCAUGAGUUUAGGUCAACCUGGAAUCAGAGCUGCAGAGGUUCUGUGUGGGAGACAAGUUUUUCCUGAAGAACAACAUGAUCUUGUGUCAGAUGGACUAUGAGGAAGGGCAGCUGAACGGGAGCUUCGAGUCCCAGGUUCAAUAGCGAUCCCUGCUUCGCUGGAGCACUGUGGAUGGGCGCCCGGCCGCGCCAGCAGCCAGCCGUCUGUCAGCUUGCCUGCAAUAUUUUUUUAAUUCUGGUCCAGAGAGGACUAUAUACAUUGUAGUACUUUCCCCCCACCCCAACACAAAGCAGUUACAAUUUUAGAUGUACAGUUGUGCCUGCUUAGCUGAGCACUGCAUUGCCUGUAUGUUUGUGAGUUUCCGGGGUCUGGGGGCUGUUUCUUAUGUGGUCCUUACCAGCAAGGUGGGGUUCACAGCUGUCGCUCUGUGGAGAGGGCAGGCUGUCAGAGAUGGUUUCCCAACCAUGCUGGUACAUCACAAGGAUGCUGGCCGACUUGUUGGUGGGGUCUGUAGCACGCUGCGCUCCCAGCGCUGUACAGCAAGCUGUGCUGGGGCUCAGAGGCAGCUGCCCACUCACCCAGCCUCUGGGUCCCAUUGUAGCAGUGCUUUUGGGGCCGUGCAAGCCCUCGUGUGACAGCCACAUCACCCGUGGAGUCUGACAGCCGCUGUACAGCUGCGUGAGUGAAAGCCUACCUUGGUGCCAAGGGAGGCAGCGGAGGCACUAACACCUUGCUGUGAUCUUCACAGUCAUCACUGGGGGCAAAGGGACAGGCUGAAAAAAUACAGCAGUAAUAAUGUUUCGGACUCGAUGUGUCGUGACAUCAUGUCAAGUUGUGUCAGGGAGGUAACGUCGCUCCGUGUGUUGGAAGUGACAUGGUGUAACCUGACUGAUACAGCACGACUCAAUAUUAGAAACUACAGCCUUACCGUUUGGCAAACAUAGUCCCAAAAUACGAGCUGGAGGGAGAGAGCUGGGGAAAGAACAGAAAGGUGGAAAGCAAAAAAGCUUCCCCAAGGUUUGCGUUGCAGUCGGUUCCCCUGCGUUCAUCGCUGCUGGGUUUGCUAUGGGCAAGCCAGCCUACGCACCGCGUUCAGGGAGCUCAAGAUAAUGAGAGUUAAGAUACUUCUCAAACACAUAAAUGUUUUGAUUGCAAAGCCCAGAUUUCUGCUUAAAAAAGUAAACUGACAUGAGGCAUCGUGAUUAAUUCCGACAGAUUGUGUUAAUUGUCGUUGGCUUUAAUUGCGGUACAAAUGCGUUGGGGGUUAGGAAACUUUUUUAUUGUUGGUGUGUUAAAUGAGUAAGCAGAGAAAGCACUUAGAAAUAACCAUUUUCAAAGGGAGUAGUGCAGUUUCUGUGAUGCUAUGAAGCAGCAAAGGAUGAACACGUAUGGGAUCUGCACCGCAUCAGCAUACCGGUCUGCAUUCCGCCCGUCAGUUCGCUCUGCCACAGAACUCAGCUGCAGUAGGCAGUGGGUAACUUUAUUUUUAUCAGAAAACUGCCCUUUUUUUGCCAUUACUCAACAGUGUGAUUGUGAAUAUGCCGUAUGUUGUAGAACCAGCGUGUCCUCUUUGAAGGCGAUGGGAUUGAAACCUAUGCGGACAAUGAUGGAAUGUUUUUGGAGUUCACGGAUCUCUGAUGAAGGCUGGUCGUAACUUCAGAAGUAUUGAGACGCUUCAAAUGUAGAACAGCCCAUGUUCUUGUUAGCUUAUGCCCAAUGCUUUCAACCAUUAGCCUUAAACUUCGGGUGAACCCUCCUUCUUUUUGGGCCGUGAUACUUGUUGGGUUGGUGGGAUCAAGUGUUUGGAAUGAAAGGGAAGGAAAUGCCACCUCAUCUGGGGAUAAGGGAUCUAACUAGCAUUAGUACUGCAAAUACGUAGCCUGAGCCUGGAGUGCAUUGUACGGGUUGCGAAGGGAAGGAAGUUAAAAUAGGAAUAUAGUGCUUUCUGUAUCAAAAGCUGACCGAGGUGGUGCGGCUGGUGGCAGCGGAGCUCCUGACCCGGCAGUUGUGAAGCGCGGUCGGGGUGAGGGCUGUUGCGAAGCACAGGAUCCGCACUUGUUGGUUUACGUUCGGUCGGCGAUGGCAUCUCUGACAGGUGGGGCGGACCUGCGAGAGCCGAGCUGAUACAUCAACUGUAAUAGCGACCUAGCGAAAGUGGAGCUACAGUCUCCGGAGCGAGAAAGUUGCGACCAGCGGGCUGCCGCCG
ensembl:lncRNA